UACGUAGGUGGCAAGCGUUGUCCGGAUUUACUGGGCGUAAAGAGCGCGCAGGCGGUCGUUCAAGUCGCGUGUGAAAGCCCCCGGCUCAACUGGGGAGGGUCAUUCGAUACUGGUCGACUCGAAGGCAGGAGAGGGAAGCGGAAUUCCCGGUGUAGUGGUGAAAUGCGUAGAUAUCGGGAGGAACACCAGUGGCGAAGGCGGCUUCCUGGCCUGUUCUUGACGCUGAGGCGCGAAAGCUAGGGGAGCAAACGGGG
rnacentral:rRNA from 1 species